UACGUAGGGGGCAAGCGUUGUCCGGAAUAUUGGGCGUAAAGAGCGUGUAGGCGGUCCGGUAAGUCGGCUGUGAAAGUCCAGGGCUCAACCCUGGGAUGCCGGUCGAUACUGCCGGACUAGAGUUCGGAAGAGGCGAGUGGAAUUCCCGGUGUAGCGGUGAAAUGCGCAGAUAUCGGGAGGAACACCUAUGGCGAAGGCAGCUCGCUGGGGACGUUACUGACGCU
rnacentral:rRNA from 1 species